rnacentral:lncRNA from 1 species
GUGAGAGAGGAGAUUUCUGUUGUUUUAAGGCACUCAGCUUGUGGAAAUUUAUUACAGCAGCUCUCGGAAACUAAGACAGUUAUUGUUGCUUUGUGAGAGUCGCUAAACCUCAAAUACAACAGGAGGAGUUUUAGAUACUUCAAUACACCCCACCCUAGCUCUCCAAAGUCCACCUGACUUUUCAAGCUCAGCUCAACGCUUAUCAUUUUCUUGACGCUUGUCGAAUUUUACCUUGUAUCCUGGAGCAUCAGGGACCUGUCAACCUCAAUCAUUCCCUGGAUUCCAAAACCACAGAUGGGAAUCUCUGGUGCCACCUUUUCUUGGCAGCAGGGAAAGAUUCACCCUCACCUUUCACCAUCAUCAGGGCUUGAGGGCCAUGCCCUAGGGCCUGGAAACAGCCUUUUGCACAAGCAGGAGGCUGUAACGUGGCCUUCCUUCUGACCCGCCCUCCCAGAGCCCUCAGAGCCUGUGGCGUGUCAUCCUUCACCCCCAUGGCACACUGCUGCGGUUUUCUCACAAGGCCGCACACAGCGAACCAGGGUGGGGCAGCAAUUAGUGCAGAAUCCUUGCAGAAGGGUGGGGAGGACAUGACACAAAGAAGCCACAAGCUCCUGGGCACAGAGACUGAGGAGCGCAACAGGCGUCGCCUGAGGCAGGCCAGGAGGAGGUUCUGUGCCCUGCGUCAGGUUGCACGACUGAGGGAGAGUGACUCUUGAUAAUUGCUGGGGAAACACCACUAUAUCUCACCCACACUGCUUUCACUGUUUCUCCCUCCUUGCCAUCAAGACCAUCUACUUCUGGCUUGAAACCACCAUUAUUGAAAUAAUGAGGGCUGGGAUGCAGAGCAGAAGGAUGAGGUUUGAACCUAACUUCUCUGACCUUCUCACUAGGAAAUGAUCCUCCACCUGUUCUUCCUACCCCUGGAAAUUGUGCAAAUGAUACCAGGGACCAGCCCUUCUUAGGAAGCUUGGCCCCUGGCUGAAGUCUGCCCCUCUGAGGACUGCAACACAGGAAGUUGCUCCCUGUGCCCCACCGGCCCUGCCCCUGCAUGACCAGCUGGAUCUACUAGGGGCCAUUCACUCACUAAAGGGCUUUGGGCAAGUCACCCAGUCCCUUUCUUUAUUUUAUUCACCCAUACCACGAAGUGACAAC